AACUUUAUCUUUUGGUUUCCUUUUGCUGGUGAGUUUGGGCUUAGCUUCGGCGGCCCGAUCUCUUCUUUCUUACGAUAUUCCUCCUCAUCGAUCUGGAUACGAUAAUUAUGAUCAUCCUGUAGUUAACCCUAAAGUAGGAUACGAACAUGACCGUCGUGAUGGAUACUACCAUGACCGUGACCAUCAUGAUGCACCUUAUGGUGGUGGUGCUGGUGGAGGAUAUGGAGCUGGAGCUGGAGCUGGCUCAUCUCUUGGAGGCUCUGGAUAUGGAAGUGGAGGAGGUGGUGGUUCUGGAUAUGGAGGUGUAGGAAACCACGAGGUUGGUUAUGGUAGUGGUGGAGGGGGUGGAUAUGGAGCUGGAGUUGGCUCUGACCUUGGUGGUAGCGGAUACGGAAGCGGUGGUGGUGGAGGCAGUGGAGGAGGAUACGGUGAUUUAGGAGGACGUGGAAAAGGGUACGGUAGCGGUGGAGGUGGAGGAAGUGGAUAUGGAGGUAGAGGAGACCAUGGAGUUGGUUAUGGAAGUGGUGGAGGUGGAGGAUAUGGAAGUGGAGUAGGUGGUGGUGCAGGAGUGGUAGACCAUGGUGUAGGUUAUGGGAGUGGAGGAGGAGGUGGGGCUGGUAGUGGUUAUGGUGGUUCCAAAGGAUAUGGAGGUGGAAGCGGCGGCGGUGGGGGAGCCGGUUAUGGUGGUGGAGCACAUGGAAGUGGAUAUGGAAGUGGUGGUGGAGCUGGAAGUGGUGAAGAAGGAGGAUAUGAUGGUGGAUAUGCACCGUAAACAAAGAAAAGAAAAGAAAAAGCUCAAAGUUUUAUGGCUAAAAUGAGAAUGCUUACCCUAAUAUCAUCAAUGUGUGUGUGUGUUAGCAAAAAAAAAAAAUAAAAGAAUUUGGGUAAGAAAUGUUAUAUUAAUUAUCUUUGAGCUUUUAAGUAAUUUGAAUGUAAUAUAAUAUAUAUAUAAAAAAAGCUAAUCCAUGUGUUCCAAAGUGAACCAACAUGAAGUAUAUUUUCUCCCUUUGUCAUCAUGAUCAUCUUAAACUUGUGGUUAUUAUGUGGGCUCUCAUUAUUAUUCCAAGAUAGCAACGUCGGGAUAUUCAAAUAUUUUUCAUAUGUAAUGUCUUAAGACUAAAUCACUAUGAUCUAUAUGCUUUAAUUAAGUUCAAAACUAUUUUGGAAGCAUUAUGAUUAAUAUAUUGAUUACUUAAAUACUAUUAUAUGGUUUUCAAGGUAACUUGAUGUUGUUAAUAAAAGAAAUCUUUAAUAUUUAAUCAGUCCUUUCUCUUAAAAUUUAGUAAAAAUAAAUACUAAAAUGGUAUGAUGUUUUAUGGUUGGAUUUGGGGUAUGUGUUUUGGCUUGUCCCUCUAGUUGUGACUUGUUCAAAAUAAGUGUACAAUCAAAUUCACUUGGGUUAUUAAAGACAAUUGAUAAACAAAAAUUGCCAAAACGAUAGAGCAUAACUAUUUAAUCGGUAUAAAACUUGUACAAUCCAUUAAUCAUAAUAUACUUUUUCUAAUUGAUCUCUAAUUGAUCGUACAUACUAGUUAGUGUCGAUAAAAAACUCAAUUUGACGUAUAAAUAUUUGUUUGUUGUAAAUGAACAUCUAAGUAUAUUCUUGAUUAAUUAUUCUUAUACUAAGAGUAACAUUGACCCCUCUAUUCUUUAGUAUUUGGUUAAAAGAAUAAAAAAUUAGUAAGUGAUGAAUCUUAGUGUGCUAUAGGUUGAUCAACCAAUUAAAAUUAGUCGUUUCAAGCAAUACUUUCGAAAAAAUUCAUUAAAUAGGAGUUAUUUAAACUAUCAACCCUGAGUUUUUAUACAUUACAAUAAAUUUAAUCUUUGAUGUCGGUCAAAAACUAAUAUAUAGGAGUACAAUAUAGAUCACCAGAUCGAUAUGGAAGACAAUGUUAUGGAAGAUGUUCAAUGUUAAUCACUUUUAUGUUCGUUUUGGUCUUGGCAUUAUAAAUAAUUUAAAUGGUAGUUUUUGCUCACACUACAAAUGUGUUAGACUAUUAGUCAUCAAAUAGUUUGAAUUCCUUGUAAAAAAAAUUAGUUGAAACAAAAAUAAAUAAUUAUCUUUGCAUUAAAAUAAAAUAAAAUAAAUAAAAUAGAUUUUUUUGUGAAUAUUUUGGUCAGGUGUUCUAUUUUUUAUAAUUUCCCAUAAAAAAUAUGUGUAAUAAGUUAUUUAAAAUACUAAUAGUAUUAAUUAGUUUACUUAAUAAAUCAAUUAUAUCUCUAAAUGAUAUUUUGGUAGAUUUAAAAAUAUUUUGAUUCAUUUUGCUAUAUUUGAAAAAGAAACCAUAAAAUUCUACUUCAUAUUCGCAAUAGAUCAUGGUAAACUUAGAUAGGCAUCUAUUAUUUAUAUAUAUGGUGAUAGAUACUUAUGUAUCUAUAUCCAAGCCCAUCAUCUAAAUAUUUUCAAAUGGUUUUCAAUUGAAAACAAAUUUCUCAAUAAGUAAUUAAAAAUUAGGUUUUUAUUCACUAAUAAUUAUUAUUUAAAUGUGAACAAAUAAAGUUUAGCUCGUAUAUAAUGGGUCAGUAGGUACACUCGGAUAUCUCCACUAGAUGGACACCCCUUAGCACCCUCAUUAUCUCCGUUUCAUUAAUAUAAAAAAUCGAAUUGAAUACACGAGAAGUAAAGAGAACAACCCAAACAAAAAACAAAGAACUAGAGACAAGCCCAAAACAAGUACAAACAAUUAGAAAGCAUGAAGAAAUUAGUGCUUUAAACCCCUAAACCGCAAUGUUACUUAACAAAUAAAAUUGUUAUUUAAAAGUUUGAAGUUAUUAUUGAGUUUUAUUUUAGCAAAUUAAUCAUCUCUUAAAUUAAAAAUCUCAAACAUACAUGGAAGAUAAGAUCAAUUAAGCACAUGUUGGAUGAAUUUUGUUCGAAUAAAAAUUAAAACAACUUAUUGUUAUCAACUUAUAAGUUAUAUAUAUGAUGAUGGUGGUGCAGAGGUGAAAACUUAGUUUGAGAUCUCUCCCUACAUCUACUAUGCUUUUACGUUCUAAUGUAUUUUGUGGUAAAAAAAUCAAUUAUAAACUUUUAAGAAAAAUUUUCAUAUGUUAUUAUUUUUUCUCUAAAUUCUAAACUAGCCAGGUUAUCAACAAAACAAAUACCACUAGAGUUUAAGGGAUUAGGAAGCAUAUAUGAAUAUCUCAACUUGGUUAACACGUCGUUUUUAAACAUUUCUCAUCAGGUUGCUGUUUCAAAAGUGAUGCACUGAUGUGAAGAAACAUAUAGGAGAAAAGUGAGAUGGAAAGUUAGUAUAUUGGACAGAGUACAUAGUACAUAGUAGGUUUAUUAAUUAAUUUAUCCAAAUGAUAAUCUCAUUACCAAGCACUAUGUGAUUUAGAUAUGAAUAAAAUGUGAUCAUUUUUCCACCACUAUUACAUAGCAAAUGGGAAAACAUCUCAUUGUGGUUUGAUAUUUUAAAAAACAAUUAUGGUAAUGCAAGUCGUCUCAUAUCCCAUAAUAUUAUCUCAGUCUCAUGGCGACUGAUACAAAAGGACAAAACUAACUUCAUUAAAAUAUGUUCUCUCCUUCCUACACUUUUUAGGUAUAUAUCAUUCAUAUAUUAAUCACUGCAAUUGGUUAGGUGGACUACAAAAACAUAGAUAUAGUCCGAGAUAAAAUUAAGUACGGUUAUAUUUUACGAGACUUUUGAUGUGUUUGAUUACAUUUUCAUGUGUUUCUUUUAGAAAAUAAGUUAUUUUGAAAAAACUAAAGUAUUUUAAACAAUUUUUAGAACAAUCAAUUUCUUGAAAAAUAUUUUUUUCUUAAUUCAAUCUAAGAUGGAUCCUCAAAAUAUUUGAGGGUAGUUCUUUUAUAAAAGUAUUUACACUAGGUUGGUUUAUGAAGUAAAAUAUUGAUCGGUAAAUUCAAGUUUUAAAUUAGAAAAAUUGAAUAUUUUUAAAAAUAGAAGAAUUGGCUAACUAUUUACAACUCAUACCAAAAUUUUAAUACAAAUCCAAAGUAUCUAUUUUUUAUUUUAUUAUUAUUAUUAUUUUUUGCUAUAGGAUGUAAAUACUAUCUGUUUUCUUGUAAAUUUCUCUUACAAUCCUCUACGAGAAAGUCUUAAUUUUUAUAUUUAUGAUUUAUAUUAUAAUAUAAUUAUUUGGAACCAUAUAAUAAAUAAAAGGAAAAUUGUAAAACAUAACAUUUGACAAAAUAUCUUCGUAGAAAAAUUUGUUGUGUAAUCAAUUUUGAGGUUUUGUUAUAUGGAGCGUAAAUAUUUUGUCAAAUUUUCUAUUUGUGAAAAAAAAAACUUAUAGGUAAUUUGAAAGGUAAGUGAUCUUGUUUAAGAUCCAAAUUUCUUUUAUGAAAGUUUAAUUUAGAAUACAUACGAGAAAAAUAGAUUAAUCUAGAAUGAUAAAUGUAAGAUAGGUUUGGGAAGUACCAAUAAAUUUUAGGCAUGUGAUAGACUAUAACUGUGAAGAUAUAUAGUCUAUUGCUAUCUUGAAUGGCUCAUUCUUGUUUGAAAAUGACCUUAUUUAAAACACAACUUUUUUAUAAAAGAAAAUCCCUUGCAUCAUUCAAACAAUCUUACAAGAUCGUAUUAGUGGAAGAUGAGAUAGAAUUCUGACAUGUGUAUUAUUAGUAUACUUGAAUAGUUUCUUAUCUAACUUUUGAGCAAGUAGUGGAGAAGCUGAUCAUGAACCCUAAACCCACCGUAUCAUUCACUAUAUAAAGGAGAUCACUACAUGCAUUCUAAGGCAUCCCUUCUCCAAAUGGCUAUCUUUAGAACUUUCUCUUUCGGUUUUCUUUUGUUGGUGAGUUUAGGCUUAGCUUCUGCGACCAGAAGUCUUCUCACCUAUGAUCCACCACAUCACUCUGUAUAUGAUGAUCAUAACACUAAAGUAGGUUACGGACGUGACCAUCAUGAUCAACCUUAUGGUGGUGGUGUUGGUGCUAGUGGAGGAUAUGGAGCCGGAGCUGGCUCUGGAUAUGGAGGUGUAGGAUACGAACAUGACCAUCAUGAUGGAUACGAACGUGAUCAUGAUCGAUCUUAUGGUGGUAGUGCUGGUGGAGGAUAUGGAGUUGGAGCUGGCUCCUCUCUUGGAGGCUCUGGAUAUGGAAACGUAGAUCAUGGGGUUGGUUAUAGCAAUGGUGGAAGUGGUGGAUAUGGAGCUGGUGUUGGCUCUGACCUUGGUGGUAGCGGAUAUGGAAGCGGUAAUGGCGGAGCAAGUGGAAGUGGAAAUGGUGAUUUAGGAGGACGUGGAAAAGGCUACGGUCGCGGUGGUGUUGGAGGAAAUGGAUAUGGAGGUAGAGGAGACCAUGGCCGAGUAGUAGGCCAUGAUGAUGUAGUUUAUGGUGGUUCCAAAGGAUAUGGAGGUGGAAGUGGCGUCGGUGGGGGAGCUGGUUAUAGCGGUGGAGCAAGUGGAAGUGGAUAUGGAAGUGGUGGUGGAGCUGGAAGUGGAAGUGGCUAUGGCGGAAGUGGUGAAGAAGGAGGAUAUGAUGGUGGAUAUGCACCUUAAAUAAAAGGGGCUAAAACAUCAUCUAAAAGCUUAUCGUUAAAACGAUAAUACUUACCUAAAUAUCAAUGUUUGUUAGCAAAAAUAAAGAAUUUAGGUAAGAAUGUUAUGUUCCUCUUUUGAAUUUUAGUAACUUCAAUGAAUGUGAUAUUAUAAAAACUAGCUGUUUCAUGGGGUUCUAAAGACCAACAAACAUGCAUGAAAUACUGAGUUAAUACAACGUACGCCAUUCCAAACGUGCUAUUUUAUGGAUUCCAAAGUUGACUUUGAACUAAGGACUAAAUAAUCCUUUAACACCUUCUAAACACAAAUUAUUUCACAGACGUCAAGAUCAGUUAAUCAAGUUAAAACUUAAUAGGUCAAAUUCAUCAUUCCAAAAUGACUUGUAGAAAAAUUUUGAGACUUAGUUCGAGUAUGUUAAAUUCUAAUGUUACGAAGUUUUCUUAACAAAAUUGAGAAGGAGGUUGGGAUGGUGGAUAUGCACUCAAAAAUUUCAUCUCAAAAGAGAAUUGAGAAACAUACUUUUCAAGUAACAAACCCAAUAUUCAUAUUAAUUGGGCAACAAAAGUAAGGAAAUAGGGGUAAAAAGAGAACAUUGUUUUCUAAAUAAUCUAUGUCGAGGUUUGCUUCUUGGCCAUGAAAUUCGAACCAAUUAUUCAAUGAUAAGCAAAUUUGGAUUAAGUAUGCAUGUGUAAUGUGACAAAAUUAUUCAACCACAUUCACGUUAUUUUGCUUUCCUAAUCAUAUUUAUGAAAUAAGAUGGUUUCAUCUUUCAAAAUCAAUACACAAUUACAAAAGUAGUAAUACUUCUAUCUUAUAAACAAUGUUGAUCUCUUGAAUUUUCCAUGUAUGGAAUUAUCAACAUUCUCCGCAUAUUGUUCUAGGUUAUUUUUUUAACCAGUGUAAUCAACCUCAAACAAAAACAAAAGUGACAAAACCAAGAAAAUAACAAAAUUUUCACUUAAAUAAAAGAGGGAAAAAAAAUAGCACAUCCUAUAAGCCAAAAUAAGGGCGAGGGGUUUAGGGUUUAGGGUUAUUAGACCAAGACUACCAAAAUGUCUAAUGACUUUUAUAACGAAACAUCUAGUUUAGAUUGAUACAUAUGAUAUGUAGCAUCUUCACAGCAUCCAAGAUCAAGAGUCGAUAUAUUAUCAUGAAAAGAAAGUACAAAAGGGAAGUUAGGGAAAAACUUGGAGUCAACGUUAAGAGAACCAUUAAAAGUUUUAGAAGUUCAAUUAAUAUUUGUAAAAUUUUAAGAGCUAAAUUUUUAUAAUCCAACGUUUGAGGUCUAGUAAUUGCAAUUGACCAUCAUACUUCAGGGAUAAUUUUUGAAAAUUUCCUUUUCUAUUAUUAAAUUAUCAAGAAAAAAAAGUUUAAUGACGGUCAAAAUAAUCCCUGGCGUCCAUAUAAUAAUUUUCAAUAACAUUUCACGACACUAAAAAAAAUUGGAACUUUGCUCACAUUUUUCUAAGAAACGUAAAUAUUUUGUCAACUUUACUAUAUAUAUAUUAUUGUUACUCUUUUAAAAACUUAAGUAAUUUUGAUUCGACCAAUUUUUUUUGCUAUCAACUACAAUUGUUAAAAAAUAUAUAUAUACGAAAAAAAAUGGUUAAUUUUCAUUCACAAAAUAUUUAAAAAAGUAAAAUUUUAAAUUUGUCUCGUAUCUUUUGGAAUAAGGUUUGUCUUUAAUUAAGGAAAUUUAAAAGUUGCUAAAACAUAGCUAAAUUAAACAAAAGUUACUUUUUUAAAGAAAAUUUUUUAAAUAACAAAAUUAUUAAAAAUAUAAUUAAAUUAGAAUUUUUGAAUCUAUUAUUGAUAUAAUUAAGAAAAGUCUAUCAACAUAUAUCAAUUCUAAUAUUUUAUUAUAUUUUAAUUCAUUUGGUUAUAUUUAACAACUCAUUCCCACACAAACUAUAAUUCAAAUUAAAAACAUAUUUGAACAAAUAUUUUGUAUAAUUUAAGUGAUGAAUCGCACUAAUAUUGUUAAAAUGUGUUUAAAAUGUGAUACUUUUCCCACCAUAUUUUAUAGCAAAUGGCAGAUAAUUUAAUGUUUCUUUGAAGCAAGAAUUAGGCAAAGAAGCAUAUAUAUAUAUAUAUAUAUAUAUAUAUAUAUAUAUAUAAUAUAUAUAUAAUAUGUAAUUAAAUUUUAUAUUAUAGUUAUGCAAAAUCGUUUCAUAAGCCACUUCAUCUCUCUCUAUUUCAUGGCAUCAAGUAAACAAAAAGGGAAAAAGGGAAAAAGAGACCUAAUAAAAUAUGUGUUCUUUAAUUGGUGGAUUUUUAAUUAGCAUUAUUAAUUAAUCAAUCAUGUAAAUAUCCUACAAAGAAUAUUUGUUCUUAAGAUAAUUCAUUGCAUGAUGAAUCAAAAUUUUAGGUUGGGUGUUCCUGUAUACUUAAAAACAUUAUUGCAUUACCAAAUUAAAUUUAUACAAACCAAACGAUAUCAUUUUGUUCGUAUUAAGUUCGUUUAAGUUUAGAUGGUAUAUGAAAGUUGGUUUGUUAUGUUUAGGUUUAUUAAACAACAUUGUAUUUAGACGAUAGUGUAAACUUUAAGUUGUUAAACAUGUGUUUUAUCUUAGUCUAAUGUCGUCUAAUACAAAUAUAUUAUGAUACUUUUUAAUAUUUAAAAAUAUUUUUAGAAGUUUUAUAAAUUAAAAUAAUUUUUCUAAAAAUUAAGUUUCAUCAUUUUUAAGAGGAGAAAAGACACCCUAAACAUAAAUUAAAGAAAAUAGAAUGAUAUUGUAUUAAUUACAUAAAUUUAAUCAAAAAUUAAGAACUAAAAAUAAAAUUGUUAUCAAAAUGAAAAUUCAUUUUAACAUUCAAACCAUCCAAAAAAAAGAACAUCUAAUUACUCUAUUGUAACAGAAGUUUUAUCCUCUUAAGAAAAAAAUAGUUUAAUGUUAAAAGAGUAUACAAAACGUGUUAAUAAGUACACAACUCAAUUAGCAUAAAGCUUAAAUUUUAUUUAGAUCAAGACUCAAAUCUAUGAGAUCACAGGAUAUUGCAAAUUUAGGAUUUUAGGUUAUCGUUUAAAGUUCUAAAAUAUUGCAAAAUGGUGCAAGUGGGAAGAUGGGAUCCAAAUCAAGUAUGGAUAUGAUUUAGUUCCAAUUAUAAUUUAAGGUUAUAGUUUAAUGAUUUAGUUACAACACUUUAGUGUUUUGCCUCUUGAACUUCCCUUAAGCUAUAAUCCAUAAUUAAUAAUGUUUUUGAGCACGUGCCUUCUCUUUAAUUGCCACUAAGGUACCACACUAUAGAGAAGAGCUAAUGAAUCCUUGUUUUCUAUAUAAGGAGAUGGAUCAAUGCAUUCUAAGCAUAUACUCCUAUCCAUGGCUAUUUCUAGAGUGUUGUGCAUUGGCUUUCUUCUUUUUGUGGGGUUAGGGUUAGCUUCGGCUGCCCGAACUCUUCUUGAUUAUGAUCCACGUGCACGUCGUUAUGAUUACGAUCGUCCUACUCCAAGAGUAGGAUACGAUCCAAGCCAUCGUGAUCAAUCCUAUGAUAAUGUAUAUGGUGGAAGCUCUAGCAGAGGAUAUGGAGCUGGAGACUCUGCUCUUGGAGGUUCGGGACGAUAUGAAGGUGGUGGAGGACGUGAUUACGGACAUGGAGGCCGAAAUGAUGAUCGUGGUGUUGGAUAUGGAGGUCGAAAUGAUGAUCGUGGUGCUGAAUAUGGAGGUAGAAAUGAUGAUCAUGGUGCUGGAUAUGGAAGUCGAAAUGAUGAUCGUGGUGUUGGAUAUGGAAGUCGAAAUGAUGAUCGUGGUGUUGGAUAUGGAAGUCGAAAUGAUGAUCGUAGUGUUGGAUAUGGAGGCCGAAAUGAUGAUCGUGGAGUUGGAUAUGGUAAUGGUGGUGGAUAUGGAGGUGUAGGAGGACAUGGUGAUGGUUAUGGUAACAAUGGUGGUGGAAGCUAUGGAGAUCGUUAUGGCCCUUCUCUUGGAGGUUCAGGAUAUGGAAGUGGAGGAAAAGGAAGUGGCAAUGGCUAUGACGAUCAUUCUCGUGGAAAUGGUGCGCGUGACAAUAGCUAUGGAGAUUCUCAUGGACAUGAAGGACGUGACAGUGGAUAUGGAAGUGGUGGAGGAGUUAGUGGAGGCUAUGGCAAUGGAGGAGUUCAUGGAGGGGAGCAUGAUAAUAGCAAAGGAAGUGGAGAAGAAGGGGGUAGGGACGGUGGAUAUGCUUUCAAAAAUUCCAUCUCAAAGGAGAAUUGAGAACUCUUUUUCAAGUAAUGAACCCAAUAUCAUAUUAUGUUAACAAAAAAAAUAAAGAAUUGGGUAUAAGAGAAUGUUGUUUUCUAAAUUUAUGUUGAAUUUGUUACCAACGAAUGUCAAAUUCGAAUCAAUGGGUACAAUGAUAAUCAAAUUUAGGUUAUGUUUAUUGUGAUAAAUUUAUUGCACUCUUAUUUGUUUUGUUUCUCUAUAUAUAUUUUUUCUAUAUAUCCAUAUUAAUAUGGGUGGUUUUGGACCGAAGAAAAAAACAUCAUCUAAAAGUUUUUCGUUAAAAUCAUAUAAUUCUUACCUAAUAUCAAUGUUUGUUAGCAAAAAGUAAAAGAAUUUAGGUAAGAAUGUUAUGUUUCUCUUUGAAUUUUAGUAACUUUUUCAAUGAAGUUGUGAUAUUAUAAAAUCUAGUCAUUUCAUGAAGUUCUAAAGGCAAACAAGCAUGCACCAAAUACUCUAGCUAAUACAACGUACGCCAUUCCAAACGUGCUAUUUUAUGGAUUUCAAAGUUAAACUUUGAAACAAUCUUUUAAUACGUUCUAAACACAAAUUAUUUAACAUAAAUCAUGGGCUAAUCAAGUCCAAACUUAAUAGAUCAAACUCAUCAUUCCAAAUGUCUCCUACAUAACUUGUAGAAAAUUUUAAGAUUUAGUUCGAAUAUAUUAAAUUCGAUGUUCCAAGUUGUUUUAACAAAAUUGAAAAACUUCACCAUUAUUUUGAGAUUUUUUUUUAUGAUUACAUCCUUUAAUUUAUUGAAUAAUUAUAAACAAUCUUGGUUUCAAGAGAAUUAUAUUUACGCAACGAUCAUUUGCAGAUGUUCAAAAUAUUUCUACCCUCAAUUAUACUUACAGAAAAACAUUUGUUGCACUUAUCUCUUCCAAACCAUAAUAGUUUUUAGGAAAAGAAAAAAGAGACAUGUUUAUGAAAGAAAAUUAGGCUACGAUGCUCAUUGUCGUGGAUAUGGAGCGCGUGACAACGGGUAUGGGAGGUGGAGGAGUUAGGGGUGGCUAUGGUGGUGGUAGCAAAUUGAAGAGAUGGUUAUGGUAAAUAGAGAGGUGUUCAUGGAGGAGAAUAUGAUAAUGGCAAAGGAAAUGGAGAAGAAGGAGGUUGUGAGGGUGGAUAUGCACUCAAAAUUAAUUCCAUCUGAUCAAAAGAGAAUUGAGAAACUUUUUUUUUUUUUUUGUAAGUAAUGAACCCAAUAUUCAUAUUAAUUGCACAACAAAAAAUAAAGAAAUUGGGUAAGAGAGAACGUUGUUUUCUAAAUCUUAUGGGUGGAAGGUUUGCAUGUUCGUGAAUGUAAAUAUCAAAUCAAUUUUUUAAUGAUAAGCAAAUUUGGAGUAAGUGUGCAUUUAUACUGUGACAAAUUGAAUCAACCACAUAUACGUUAUUUUGUUUUUCCAAUGAUAUUUAUUAUAUAAGAGGAUUUUAUCUCAAAAUCAAUCAACAAAUACGUGAAUAGUAAUACGUCAAUUUUAUAAACAAUAAUGAUGAUCUCUUGAAUUUUUCAUGUGAAAUUAUCAACAUUCUCCAUGUAUUGUUCUCGGUUAUUAUUUUUGUAACCAAAGUGUAAUCCUCCAAAAAAAUACAAAAUUGACAACCAAGAAAAUAACUAAAUUUUCAUUUAAAAAGAAAAAAGAGAAUAGCAUAUCAAAUAUCAAAUAGCCAUGCAAAAUAAGCUUAACUAGGGGAGAGGGAGUCUAUAAGUCAAAUUGCAUAGUCUAAACCAAGGCUAACAAAUGAAUGAUGAUCCUACGAUAAAAUAUCUUAAGUAGAUUGAUACAUAUGAUAUGUAGCAUCUUCACCGCAUCUAAGAACAAGAGUCGAUGUGUUAUCACAAAAAUAAAAUACAAAAGGGAAGUUUGGGAGAAAAUUAGAGUUAUAAUAAUGUUGAGAGAGAUCCAAUUAAUUAAUACUCUUAAAAUUUUAAGAGAUAAAUUUUUAUAUUUGAGAAUUUAAAUGUGUAAUUGCGACUAAUUAACCAAUCGUGUUGAUUUUUGCAAUUUACCUUUUUUUAUUAAAUUUUCAAGAAAAAAAUAUUUAAUGACGAUCAAAAUGAUCCAUGACGUACAUACAAUUAUUGUCAAACAUUCCAUGUUACUAAAAGAAAAUUGAAACUUUCUCCAACGUUAUAAAUAUUUUAUCCACUUUACUAUUUUUUUUAUUAUUUCCCUAAUUUUGAUUCAAUCAAUUUUCUAGCUAUCAACUACCAUUCUUUAAAAAAAAAUCAAAUAUACAAAAAUAAAAAAUUGUCAAUUUUCGUCCAAAAAAAUUUUAAAAUAAAAUUUGGAAUUUGGAAUAUGGUACCUUUUGGAAUAAGUUUUAAAGCCUUUGAUUAAAAAAAAAAAGUUGCUUCAACCAAAAUCAUUGUAAAUAAUGUUGAAAUUAUAAAAUUAUUAAAAAUAUUUAUAAAUAUAGACAAACUAAAAUUUUAGAAUCUACCGUUGAUGUAACUAAUAAACGUAUAUCAGCGUCUACCGAAUAUAUUCUAAAAAACGGUAAUAUUUUAUAAAUAUUUUAGUAUGUUUACCCUUUCACAAACUUAAUUAAAAUUAUAAUCCAAAUCAAAACCUAUCCAAACAAAUAUUUGGUGUAACUUAAGGGAUGAAUCGCACUAAUAUGACUCAAACAUAUUUUGAGAAACGUGUUUAAAAUGUGAUAAAUUUUUCCACAAUAUUUUAUAGCAAAUGGCAAAUAAUUUAAAGUUUCUUUGAAGCAAGAAUUAGGCAAAGAAGCAUGUAUAUAUAUACAUAUAAUGUAAUUAAAAUUUAUAUUAUAGUGAUGCAAAAUCGUUUCAUAAGCCACUUCAUCUCUCUCUGUUUCAUGGCAUCUUAAGUACACAAAAAGAGAAAAAGGGAAAAAGAGACCUAAUAUAAUAUGUGUUCUUUAAUUGGUGGAUUUUUAUUUAGCAUUAUUAAUUCAUCAAUCACCAAGAAUAUUUAUUCUCAACAAAGUUAUUGAAUGAUAUUAAAUUUACAAGAACUAAAUGAUAUAUCAUUUCGUUUCAUAUUAAAUUUUUGUAAGUUUAGAUAAUUUAUGAAAGUAGGUUUGUUAUGUUUAGGUUAACUAAACACAUACAUGUUAAAUUGAAUAUGUGUUUUAUCUUGGUCAAUUGUGCAAAGUGGAUCCGUGGCGCAAUGGUAGCGCGUCUGACUCCAGAUCAGAAGGUUGCGUGUUCGAUUCACGUCGGGUUCAAUGUCCAUUUUUUAUUUUAGUCAUUUGUGAUCACAAAUAAAUUUAAACCUCAUAAUCAUUGCAUUUUAGGUUAUUGUGUAAAGUUAUAAAACAUUACAAAGUGGAACAAGUAUUGAUAUGAUUUCGUUCCAAUUAUAAUUUAUUUUUAUAGUUUAAUGAGACAUACGAAAAAGCCAACACUUUAGUAUUUUGCCUCUUGAACUUUACUUAAGUUAUAUAUAAAAAAUUAAUAAUGUUGUUGACCACAUGCCUCCUCUUUAAUUGCCACUAAGGUACUACACUAUAGAGAAGAGCUAAUGAGUCCUUGUUUUCUAUAUAAGGAGAUGGAUGAAUGCAUUCUAAGCAUACAUUCCUAUCCAUGGCUAUCUCUAGAGUGUUGUGCAUUGGCUUUCUUCUUUUUGUAGGUUUAGGGUUAGCUUCGGCUACCCGAACUCUUCUUGAUUAUGAUCCACGUGCACGUCGUUAUGAUUACGAUCAUCCUACUCCAAGAGUAGGGUACGAUCCAAGUCAUCGUGAUCAAUCAUAUGAUAAUGCAUACAGUGGAAGUUCUAGUAAAGGAUAUGGAAUUGGAGACUCUACUCUUGGAGGUUCUGGACGAUAUGGAGGUGGCAAAGGACAUGAUUCCGGAUAUGGAGGUCGAAAUGAUGAUCGCAGUACUGGAUAUGGAGGUCGAAAUGAUGACCGCAGUGAUGGAUAUGGAGGUCGAAAUGAUGACCGCGGUGCUGGAUACGGAGGUCGAAAUGAUGAUCGCGGUGUUGGAUAUGGAGGUCGAAAUGAUGAUCGCGGUGUUGGAUAUGGAGGUCGAAAUGAUGAUCGUGGAGUUGGAUAUGGUAAUGGUGGUAGAUAUGGAAGUGUAGGAGGACAUGGUGAUGGUUAUGGUAACAAUGGUGGUGGAAGCUAUGGAGAUCGUUAUGGCCCUUCUCUUGGAGGUUCAGGAAAAGGAAGUAACAAUGGCUAUAACGAUCAUUCUCGUGGAAAUGGAGGACGUGACAGUGGCUAUGGAGAUUCACAUGGACAUGAAGGACGUGAGAGUGGAAAUGGAAGCGGUGGAGGAGUUAGUGGUGGCUAUGGUAAUGGAGGAGUACAUGGAGGAGAGUAUGAUAAUAGCAAAGGAAGUGGAGAAGAAGGGGGUAAUGAUGGUGGAUAUGCUGUCAAAAAUUCUAUCUCAAAGGAGAAUUGAGAAUUCCUCUUUUUCAAGUAAUGAACCCAAUAUCAUAUUAUGUUAACGAGAAAUAAAGAAAUUGGGUGAGAGAAUGUUGUGUUUUAAAUUUAUGUUGAAUUUUCUUUGAAUAAUUCGAAUCAAUAGGUACAAUGAUAAUCAAAUUUGGAUUAUGUUUGUUGUGACAAAUUGACUGUACCCUAUUUUGUUAUAUUUCUCUAUAGAUUUUUUUAUAUAUAUCCAUAUUAAUACGGGUGAUUUUGAACUGAAUCAAAUGACAUAAACAAAGAGAAAAAAAUAUUGUCUAAAAGUUUAUUUGUUAACACCUUAUAAUUCUUAGUAACUUUUUCAAUGAAUGUGUGAUAUUAUAAAAAUAAGUUGUUUCAUGGGAUUCCAAGGAUGGACAAAAGAUGCAUAAAAUACUCUAACUAAUAAAAUGUACACCAUUCCAAACGUGCUAUAUUUUAUGAUUUUCAAAGUUAAACUUUGAAACAAUCUUUUAACACCUUCUAAACACAAAUUAUUUAUCAUACAUGGUGGGCUAAUCAAGUCCAAACUAAUUAAUAGGUCAAACCCAUCAUUCCAAUUGUCUGCUACACGUAACUUAUAAAAAUUUUCAAGAUUUAGUUUGAAUAUUUUAAAUUCAAUGUUUCAAGUUUUUUUAACAAAAUUGAAAAAACUUCACCAUUUUCUUGAGAUUUUCUUAUUAUGAUUACAUCCUUUAAUUUGUUGAAUAAUUAUGUACGAUCUUGUUGCAAGAGAAUAAUAUAUAUAUAUUAUUAUAUUAUAUAUAUACAUACAUUCAUUCAUUUAGGUUUAUGUGGUUCAAAAUCUUUCUACCCUCAAUUAUACUUAAAAAGCAUUGGUUGCACUCUUCUCUUCCAAACCAUGAUAGUUUUUAGGAAAAAAAAGAAACAUGUUGAUGAAAGAGAAUUAGACUACGAUGAUCAUUCUCGUGGAUAUGAAGCGCGUGACAACGGAUAUGGGAGUGGUGGAGGAGUUGGUGGUGGCAGCGAAAAAGGUGGUUAUGGUAAUAGAGAGGUGUUCAUAAAGGAGAAUAUGAUAAUCGGAAAGGAAAUGGGGAAGAAGGAGGUUCUAAUGGUAGAUAUGCACUCAAAAUUAAUUUCAUCUAAUCAAAAGAGAAUUGGAAACUUUUUUUUAAGCAAUGAACCCAAUAUUCAUAUUAAUUGGGCAACAAAAAUAAAGAAAUUGGGUAAGAGACAACGUUGUUUUAUAAAUCUUAUAUGUCAUUAGUUUACUUUUUGGUGAAAGUAAAUAAUUUGGAUUAAGUAUGCAUUUGUAUUAGAACAAAUUGAAUCCAACCAUAUACACAUUAUUUUACUUUUUUAAUAAUAUUUUUUAUUAAAUUAGAUGGUUUUAUUUUAAAAUUAAUUGAUAAUUACGUGAAUAGUAAUAUGUAUAUCUUAUAAACAAUAAUGUUGAUCUCUUCAAUUUUUUAUAUGCAGAAUUAUCAACAUUCUCCACCUAAUGUUCUAGGUUAUUUUUGUAAUCAAAGUGUAACUCUCAGACAAAAACAAAAACGAAAAAACCAAGAAAAUAACUAAAUUUUCAUUUAAAAAGAGAAAAAAGAAUAGCAUAUCAAACAUCCAUCCAAAAUAAGCAUAAUUAAGGGAGAGGGGGCCUAUACGUCAAUUGCUUAGUCUAAACCAAGACUAACAAAUGCCUUGUCCUAUGAUAAAAUAUUUAUAUUUCAAAGAUACAUAUAUUUUCACUACAUCCAAGAUCAAGAGCCAUUGUAUUAUAACAAAAGAUUGUACAAAAGGGGAGUUGGGGAGAAACUUAGAGUCAUAAUGUUCAAAGAGAUCUAAUUAAUACUUGUAAAAUUUUAAGAGCUAAAAUUUUGUAACAGAGAUUGAGAGUGUAAUCGCAACAAAUAAUCAUACUUCAAUGGUUGAUUAAUUUAUCAAGAAAAGUUUUAAAAAAACAUUUAAUGACAGUCAACAUCAACCCUUUCACGUCAUUAAAAGAAAAUUGGAACUUUGCCCACAUUUCUUUAUUAUUUUGCUAUUAAAAAUUAAUUUUGAUUCAAUCAAUUUUUUAGUUAUCAACUACUAUUCUUAAAAAAAUAUAUAUAUAUACAAAAAUUACGAAAAAGAAAUAUUACUUCUCAAACAAGAAUCAUCUUAAAUAAUCAUCCUAUCCAUUUUAAAAAAUAUAUAUAUUUUCAAUAAAUUAAAUAAUAAAAUUAUUGAAAAUAUUUAUAAAUAUAACUAAAAUAAAACUCUAAAAUCGAUGGAGGAUGUAACUUAUGAAAGUCUAUUAGCAUCUAUCAUUAACAUAUUCUAAAAUAUUUUUGUAAAUAUAUUUUGUUUCAUUUUGCUAUACUUAAAAAUAACCUUCCACAAAUUUAAAACUCAAAUUAAUCAAAACCAAUCCCAACAAAUAUUUUGUAUAAUUUAUGCGAUGUGCAUAAAUACGCAUUUUCCCACCAUAUUUGAUAGCAAAUGGCAAAUUAUUUAAUGUUUGUUUGAAGCAAGAAUUAGGCAAAGAAGCAUAUAUCUAUAUAAUAUGUAACUAGAUCUUAUAUUAUAGUGAUGCAAAAUCGUUUCAUAAGGCACUUCAUAUCUCUCUGUCUCAUGGCAUCUUAAGUACACAAAAUGAGAAAAAGGGAAAAAGGGCCCUAAUAUAAUAUGUGUCCUUUAAUUGGUGGAAUUUUAUUUAGCAUUAUUAAUUAAUCAACCGUGUAAAAUAUGGUAGGAAGAAUUAUUCUAAUGAUGAAUGAAAAUUUUAGGUUGGGAGGUCCCAUAUAUGAAGCAUAUGAGAAAUUUUCAAUCUUAAAAGAGUGAAUUAUCAAAUUAAAUUUACAUGAACGAAAUGAUAUAUCAUUUGGUUUGUAUUAAGUUUGUUUAAGUUUAGAUGAUUUACGAAAAUAGGUUUGUUAUGUUUAGGUUGACAAAACGACACUGUAUUUAGAUGAUGGUGUAAAUUUUAACAUGUUAAACAUGUGUUUUAUCUUGGUUUAUUGUGAUCUAAUACAAAUAAAUAUCGUUAUUGAAUUUUAGGUUAUCGUGUAAAGUUGUAAAAUAUUACAAAGUGGUGCAAGUGGGAAAAUGGGAUCAAAAGGAGAGUAUUGAUAUGAUUUCGUUCCAAUUAUAACUUAUUUUUUUAGUUUAAUGAGACAUAGGAAAAAGCCUACACUUUAGUGUUUUGCCUCUUGAACUUCCUUUGAGCUAUAUAUCCAAAAUUAAUAAUGAUUUUUUAGCACGUGUCUCCUCUUUAAUGGCCUCUAAGGUACCACACUAUAGAGAAGAGCUAAUGAAUCCUUGUUUUCUAUAUAAGGAGAUGGAUCCAUGCAUUCUAAGCAUACAUUCCUAUCCAUGGCUAUUCCUAAAGUGUUGUGCAUUGGCUUUCUUCUUUUUGUGGGUUUAGGGUUAGCUUCGGCUGCCCGAACUCUUCUUGAUUAUGAUCCACGUACACGUCGCUAUGAUUACGAUCAUCCUACUCCAAGAGUAGGGUACGACCCAAGUCAUCGUGAUCAAUCCUAUGAUAGUGCAUACAGUGGAAGUUCUAGUAAAGGAUAUGGAGUUGGAGACUCUGCUCUUGGAGGUUCUGGACGAUAUGAAGGUGGUGGAGGACGUGAUUCCGGAUAUGGAGGUCGAAAUGAUGAUCAUGGUGUGGGAUAUGAAGGUCGAAAUGAUGGUCGUGGUGCUGGAUACGGAAGUCGAAAUGAUGAUCGCAGUGCUGGAUAUGGAGGUCGAAAUGAUGAUCGUGGUGCUGGAUAUGGAGGUCGAAAUGAUGAUCGUGGUGCUGGAUAUGGAGGUCGAAAUGAUGAUCACGGUGCUGGAUAUGGAAGUCGAAAUGAUGAUCAUGGUGCUGGAUAUGGAGGUCGAAAUGAUGAUCGUGGGGUUGGAUAUGGUAAUGGUGGUGGAUAUGGAAGUGUAGGAGGACAUGGUGAUGGUUAUGGUAACAAUGGUGGUGGAAGCUAUGGAGAUCGUUAUGGCCCUUCUCUUGGAGGUUCGGGAUAUGGAAGUGGAGGAAAAGGAAGUGGCAAUGGCUAUGAUGAUCAUUCUCGUGGAAAUGGAGCACGUGACAAUAACUAUGGAGAUUCUCACGGACAUGAAGGACGUGACAGUGGAUAUGGAAGUGGUGGAGGAGUUAGCGGAGGCUAUGGCAAUGGAGGAGUUCAUGGAGGGGAGCAUGAUAAUAGCAAAGGAAGUGGAGAAGAAGGGGGUAGUGAUGGUGGAUAUGCUUUCAAAAAUUCCAUCUCAAACAAGAAUUGAGAACUCUCUUUUAAGCAAUGAACCCAAUAUCAUAUUAUGUUAAAGAAAAAUAAGGAAAUUGGGUAAGAAUGAAUAAUGUUGUGUUCUAAAUGUAUGUUGAAUUUACUUCAAAUGAAUGCUAAAUUUGAAUCAAUGAAUUAUGUUUGGAUUAUGUUUGUUGUUACAAAUUGAUUCCACCUUUCUUUU
rnacentral:lncRNA from 1 species